UCCGCGUUAUUCGCGGCAGUCUCUUUAGAGUGCCCAGCUUGACCUGAUGGCAACUAAAAACGAGGGUUGCGCUCGUUGCGGGACUUAACCCAACAUCUCACGACACGAGCUGACGACAGCCAUGCAGCACCUGUGUGGAAGGCUCCCUUGCGGGAGAAGGACGAUCUCUCGUCCGGUCCUUCCCAUGUCAAGCCCUGGUAAGGUUCUUCGCGUUGCGUCGAAUUAAACCACAUGCACCACCGCUUGUGCGGGCCCCCGUCAAUUCCUUUAUGUUUUAGCCUUGCGGCCGUACUCCACAGGCGGGAUGCUUAACGCGUUAGCUUCGCUACUACCAGGGUCGAUACUGAUAACAGCUAGCAUCCAUAGUUUACGGCGUGGACUA
rnacentral:misc_RNA from 1 species